GCACCGGAGGUCAUGGCGGCCAAACUGGCUCCAAACCAGCAGGAUAAGGUUCGAUUCCUUACCGGUGUGCCA
rnacentral:tRNA from 1 species